rnacentral:tRNA from 1 species
GCGGGGGUAGCUCAGUGGUAGAGCAUGUGCUUAGCGUGCACGCGGUCUGGGUUCAAUCCCCAGCACCUCUG